rnacentral:rRNA from 1 species
CUAACACAUGCAAGUCGAGCGGAAACGACACUAACAAUCCUUCGGGUGCGUUAAUGGGCGUCGAGCGGCGGACGGGUGAGUAAUGCCUAGGAAAUUGCCUUGAUGUGGGGGAUAACCAUUGGAAACGAUGGCUAAUACCGCAUAAUGCCUACGGGCCAAAGAGGGGGACCUUCGGGCCUCUCGCGUCAAGAUAUGCCUAGGUGGGAUUAGCUAGUUGGUGAGGUAAUGGCUCACCAAGGCGACGAUCCCUAGCUGGUCUGAGAGGAUGAUCAGCCACACUGGAACUGAGACACGGUCCAGACUCCUACGGGAGGCAGCAGUGGGGAAUAUUGCACAAUGGGCGAAAGCCUGAUGCAGCCAUGCCGCGUGUAUGAAGAAGGCCUUCGGGUUGUAAAGUACUUUCAGUUGUGAGGAAGGGGGUAGCGUUAAUAGCUCUAUCUCUUGACGUUAGCAACAGAAGAAGCACCGGCUAACUCCGUGCCAGCAGCCGCGGUAAUACGGAGGGUGCGAGCGUUAAUCGGAAUUACUGGGCGUAAAGCGCAUGCAGGUGGUUCAUUAAGUCAGAUGUGAAAGCCCGGGGCUCAACCUCGGAACUGCAUUUGAAACUGGUGAACUAGAGUACUGUAGAGGGGGGUAGAAUUUCAGGUGUAGCGGUGAAAUGCGUAGAGAUCUGAAGGAAUACCAGUGGCGAAGGCGGCCCCCUGGACAGAUACUGACACUCAAAUGCCGAAAGCGUGGGGGAGCAAACAGGAU